UACGAAGGGGGCUAGCGUUGCUCGGAAUCACUGGGCGUAAAGGGUGCGUAGGCGGGGCUUUAAGUCAGGGGUGAAAUCCUGGAGCUCAACUCCAGAACUGCCUUUGAUACUGAGGAUCUUGAGUCCGGGAGAGGUGAGUGGAACUGCGAGUGUAGAGGUGAAAUUCGUAGAUAUUCGCAAGAACACCAGUGGCGAAGGCGGCUCACUGGCCCGGUACUGACGCUGAGGCACGAAAGCUAGGGGAGCGAACAGG
rnacentral:rRNA from 1 species